AUUGAACGCUGGCGGCAGGCCUAACACAUGCAAGUCGAGCGAGUGGCGGACGGGUGAGUAAUGUAUGGGAAACUGCCUGAUGGCGGGGGAUAACUACUGGAAACGGUAGCUAAUACCGCAUACCAUCAGAUGUACCCAGAUGGGAUUAGCUAGUUGGUGAGGUAACGGCUCACCAAGGCGACGAUCCCUAGCUGGUCUGAGAGGAUGACCAGCCACACUGGGACUGAGACACGGCCCAGACUCCUACGGGAGGCAGCAGUGGGGAAUAUUGCACAAUGGGCGCAAGCCUGAUGCAGCCAUGCCGCGUGUAUGAAGAAGGCCUUGGGGUUGUAAAGUACUUUCAGCGGGGAGGCGUUACCCGCAGAAGAAGCACCGGCUAACUCCGUGCCAGCAGCCGCGGUAAUAC
rnacentral:rRNA from 1 species